rnacentral:rRNA from 1 species
UACGUAGGGUGCAAGCGUUGCCCGGAUUUAUUGGGCGUAAAGGGCGCGUAGGCGGCUUGGCAAGUGGAUGGUGAAAUCCCUCGGCUUAACCGAGGAACUGCCGUCCAAACUGCUUCGCUUGAGACCGGGAGAGGUGAGUGGAAUUCCCAGUGUAGCGGUGAAAUGCGUAGAUAUUGGGGAGGAACACCAGUGGCGAAGGCGGCUCACUGGACCGGUACUGACGCUGAUGCGCGAAAGCGUGGGGAGCAAACGGG